rnacentral:rRNA from 1 species
AGUAUCAAUUGGAGGGCAAGUCUGGUGCCAGCAGCCGCGGUAAUUCCAGCUCCAAUAGCGUAUAUUAAAAUUGUUGCAGUUAAAAAGCUCGUAGUUGAAUUUCUGCUGCAUUGCUUUUGCUCCUUUACGAGUCUUUGCAUUGUGGCUUAUUUCGGACUUUGUUUUACAAUGUCCGGAUGUUUACUUUGAGAAAAUUAGAGUGCUCAAAGCAGGCUUUCGCCUUGAAUAGUUUAGCAUGGAAUAAUAAAGUAGGACUUUGGUUCUAUUUUGUUGGUUUUAGGUACCAAAGUAAUGGUUAAUAGGAACAGUUGGGGGCAUUCGUAUUUAACUGUCAGAGGUGAAAUUCUUAGAUUUGUUAAAGACGAACUACUGCGAAAGCAUUUGCCAAGGAUGUUUUCAUUAAUCAAGAACGAAAGUUAGGGGAUCGAAGACGAUCAGAUACCGUCGUAGUCCUA